rnacentral:rRNA from 1 species
CCCUUAGAUGUUCUGGGCCGCACGCGCGCUACACUGACGAAGUCAGCGAGCAUCUCCUACGCCGAAAGGUGCGGGGAAUCUUGUGAAACUUUGUCGCGCUGGGGAUUGAUUUUUGAAAUUCUUGAUCAUCAACGAGGAAUUCCUAGUAAGCGCAAGUCAGCAGCUUGCGUUGAUUACGUCCCUGCCCUUUGUACACACCGCCCGUCGCUACUACCGAUUGAAUGGUUUAGUGAGAUUUUUGGACUGGAACUCUCUUGUUCAGCAAUGAACGAGAGGGACUCUGGGAAGCUAUUCUAACUGUAUCAUUUAGAGGAAGUAAAAGUCGUAACA